rfam:Oryza glaberrima chromosome 4 Oglab04_0272_2, whole genome shotgun sequence.
AAAAAGACAAACCGUAGGUUCUUGUGCCAACGUUUGACUGUCCGUCUUAUAUGAAAUUUUUUUAUAAUUAGUAUUUUCGUUGUUGUUAGAUGAUAAAACAUGAUUAAUACUUUAUGUGUGACUUAUCUUUUUAAUUUUUUUUAUAAUUUUUUUAAAUAAGACGAACGGUCAAACGUUGGGCACGAAAACUAAUGUUUGUCUUUUUC